GAGGUGUGCGGCUUUGCCCCCUAUGAGCGGCGUGCCAUGGAGCUGCUCAAGGUCUCUAAGGACAAGCGGGCCCUGAAGUUCAUCAAGAAAAGGGUGGGGACACACAUCCGAGCCAAGAGGAAGAGAGAGGAGCUGAGCAAUGUCCUUGCAGCCAUGAGGAAGGCAGCAGCCAAGAAGGACUGAGCCCCAGCCCCUCUGUGUGGAAUAAAACAUUUUUGGAAACUUGGA